GACCCGUCUUGAAACACGGACCAAGGAGUUUUAUAUGAUCGCGAGUCAAAGGGCCUUACGAAACCCCANGGCGCAAUUAAUGUAAAGGUUURCUUUSGUARACUGAGAUGUGACCUCGUGGCAACACAGAGUGCAACAUCAACCCGUCUAAAGAUGUUCGCAUCUGGGCGGAGUUUGAGCGAUCAUGUAGAGACCCGAAAGAUGGUGAACUAUGCUUGUGCAGGUUGAAGCCAGGGGAAACUCUGAUGGAGGACCGCAGCGGUUCUGACGUGCAAAUCGAUCGUCGGACAUGAGUAUAGGGGCGAAAGACUAAUCGAACCAUCUAGUAGCUGGUUCCCUCCGAAGUUUCCCUCAGGAUAGCUGGCAUUUGUGAUUGUAGUUUAACCUGGUAAAGCGAAUGAUUAGAAGUAUUGGGGACGAAAUGUUCUCAACUUAUUCUCAAACUUUAAAUGGGUUCGAGGUGUGUCUYUCUUCAUUGAAGAUGUACUUUGAAUACRAAUGCCUAGUGGGCCAUUUUUGGUAAGCAGAACUGGCGAUGUGGGAUGAACCAAACAUCUGGUUAAGGUGCCUAACAUAACGCUCAUGAGAACCCACAAAAGGUGUUGKUUGAUAAAGACAGCAGGACGGUGGACAUGGAAGUCGUCAUCCGCUAAGGAGUGUGU
rnacentral:rRNA from 1 species